UACACUGAAACAUGGUGGAGGAAGAACAGCUGGUGGAUCUGGGUGGAGAAGCUUGUGUUGUGAAAGAGGGGAGGUGUUCUGGCAUAAUUUGGGAUUUUGGGGGAGGGGCUUGUCAGCUACAAUGGAGAGUCUUGGUUCUUGCUGGUAUGGUUCAGCCUUCCUAGGAAGACACUUCAAUGUGUGUUUGAUUAAGAUGAAAACAGGCAGAACAAGUGGAAAAUAACAGCACAUCUCAAAGAAAGUUCCAGUGGGUUCACACAUAGUUAAGAAGAGGCGAUUUCUAUGGUAAAGAACUAGGUGUUUUCUUCACAUGUGCUGCUGGGAAAAUGGUAACACCUGAAGAUAUAGAAGGCAGAACAAAAACCUCCUACGUGCUUCAGCUACGGCUUCUACAAAGUGCCAAGACAUCAUCUUGCAGAUAAGAGAUCAUAGAUCCACAGAACGGUUAAAGCCCACCCACCUCCAACCCCUGCUGUGGACUGGCUGCCCCCACCAGGUCAGUCUGAUGGUGGUCCCAUCCAACCUGGCCUUGAGCAUCUCCGGGAUGGGGCAUCCUCAGAUGUUUAGGGGCCUGUAAGGAGAAGAUGUUGCAUUGCGGAAUUCGUGUUU